CCGGAUGAUGGCAAUAAUGCACUGUUAAGUGCGGUUGCCAAUAAAACGAAAGAAGAAGAAGAAGAAGAAUUGGAGUUUGCAAUAGUGGACACAGGAAAGACCAUGAGAGCCCUUCUACAGCACAUGGAGACUUUCCAGCCCAAAUGGUGAAAGCCGAAGGGCUGCUGGUUUAAGAGGGUUCCUCACGGGGCAGUGGAGCUCCCAGACUAUGAUGGUUUUGUUAUUCCUAAUCGUUUCGUGGUGGGUUAUGCUCUGGACUACAAUGAGAGACCUCAAUCACAUCUGUGUCAUCAGUGAGAUGGGGAAACAGAAGCUCCUCUUUCAAGAGGAAUGGACAUUUACAUUACCAUAACAGAUGAAAAACUCGUUUUGCAAGAUUACUGUGAUCUCAAAUCAGAGAUAAAUCUGAUCUCUCAAAUCUGAUAUCUGUAACUGACAUGCCGAAUUAUGUUUGAAAUGUAAUAUAUUUUGCAUGAAUUGGGUAAAGUCACACAUCGCAGUACUAACGUGAUAUGAUGUGGAAAACAGACUUACUGUGUGCCAUUUUAUAUGCUGUAUAAAAGCCAAGCUGUUCAUUUUUGUCCUAUUUAGAAGAUAUUUGUUUGACAGACCAUCCAUGGCACUAUUUCACAUAAAAGAUGUUUACAUGUAGUACAAGAGACAAUAAUAGCUGAAUUUAUAAAAAUGACUCCGUUCAAAAGUUGACAUCUCCUUGAUUCUUAUUAAUGUGUUCUUACCUGAAUGUGAUAGUUGUUCAUAAGUCCCUUGUUUGUCCUGAACAGUUAAACUGCCUGCUGUUCUUCAGAAAAAUCCUUCAGGUCCCGAAAAUUAUUUGGUUUUCCAGCAUUUUUGUGUAUUUGAACCCUUCCAACAAUGACUAUGAUUUUGAGAUCCAUCUUUUCACACUGAGGGACUCAUAUGCAACUAUUACAGAAUGUCCAAAUGCUCAUUGAUGCUCCAGAAGGAAAAACCAUGCAUUAAGAGCUGGGGGGUGAAAACUUUUGAACAGAAUGGAGAUGUGUACAUUUUUCUUAUUAUUUCUUAUUUUGCCAAAAUAUCUAUAAUAUUUUUUUUUGAACCACCUUUUAGAGGCUACAAAAGAUUUAACUCACAACUUACAGAAUUUAAAGGAUCUGCUGCUAAUGGUGCUAGAAACAGGACAAAUUCGGAGGUCUUGUGGAGUCCAUGCCUUGACACAUCAAAGUUGUUUUAGAAGCACGAAAGGAACUUACACAAUAUAAGUGGUUUUAAUGUUGUAGCUGGUCAGUGGAUAAAAUUGAUUAAACCUUAUCUUUGCAAAAAAAGAAGGAAAAAAAAGAAAGAAACAGAGGAGUGUUACAGGUAAUGCUAUUGAAGAAUAUUAAUUAAGAAAACAAUGCCUUAUUUUCUUUGUAACUGAGUACUUAUGUCUUCUACAAAGGACACUAAAAAUCAUGUAUAUCUUAUGUUCAAAACAAUAUGACGACAAACAAAAUAAAUAACACAUGCCUUCAGCUUUUUUGUUGGGUUCCAGAAAGAUGUAUUUGCACACUACAAACUGGCGUUAAAUAAAGAACAUCUGAAAAGCCC
ensembl:lncRNA